rnacentral:rRNA from 1 species
GAUGAACGCUGGCGGCGUGCCUAAUACAUGCAAGUCGAGCGAACAGACGAGGAGCUUGCUCCUCUGACGUUAGCGGCGGACGGGUGAGUAACACGUGGAUAACCUACCUAUAAGACUGGGAUAACUUCGGGAAACCGGAGCUAAUACCUGAUAAUAUUUUGAACCGCAUGGUUCAAUAGUGAAAGACGGUUUUGCUGUCACUUAUAGAUGGAUCCGCGCCGCAUUAGCUAGUUGGUAAGGUAACGGCUUACCAAGGCAACGAUGCGUAGCCGACCUGAGAGGGUGAUCGGCCACACUGGAACUGAGACACGGUCCAGACUCCUACGGGAGGCAGCAGUAGGGAAUCUUCCGCAAUGGGCGAAAGCCUGACGGAGCAACGCUGCGUGAGUGAUGAAGGUCUUCGGAUCGUAAAACUCUGUUAUUAGGGAAGAACAAAUGUGUAAGUAACUAUGCACGUCUUGACGGUACCUAAUCAGAAAGCCACGGCUAACUACGUG